UGCCGCGUGCUGUGUAGAAGGCCUUUUGGUUGUAAAGCACUUUAAGCGAGGAGGAGGCUACCGAGACUAAUACUCUUGGAUAGUGGACGUUACUCGCAGAAUAAGCACCGGCUAACUCUGUGCCAGCAGCCGCGGUAAUACAGAGGGUGCGAGCGUUAAUCGGAUUUACUGGGCGUAAAGCGUGCGUAGGCGGCUGAUUAAGUCGGAUGUGAAAUCCCUGAGCUUAACUUAGGAAUUGCAUUCGAUACUGGUCAGCUAGAGUAUGGGAGAGGAUGGUAGAAUUCCAGGUGUAGCGGUGAAAUGCGUAGAGAUCUGGAGGAAUACCGAUGGCGAAGGCAGCCAUCUGGCCUAAUACUGACGCUGAGGUACGAAAGCAUGGGGAGCAAACAGGAUUAGAUACCCUGGUAGUCCAUGCCGAAAACGAUGUCUACUAGCCGUUGGGGCCUUUGAGGCUUUAGUGGCGCAGCUAACGCGAUAAGUAGACCGCCUGGGGAGUACGGUCGCAAGACUAAAACUCAAAUGAAUUGACGGGGGCCCGCACAAGCGGUGGAGCAUGUGGUUUAAUUCGAUGCAACGCGAAGAACCUUACCUGGUCUUGACAUAGUAAGAAACUUUCCAGA
rnacentral:rRNA from 1 species